rnacentral:rRNA from 1 species
GAUGAACGCUGGCGGCGUGCCUAAUACAUGCAAGUCGAGCGAACAGACGAGGAGCUUGCUCCUCUGACGUUAGCGGCGGACGGGUGAGUAACACGUGGAUAACCUACCUAUAAGACUGGGAUAACUUCGGGAAACCGGAGCUAAUACCGGAUAAUAUAUUGAACCGCAUGGUUCAAUAGUGAAAUACGGUUUUGCUGUCACUUAUAGAUGGAUCCGCGCCGCAUUAGCUAGUUGGUAAGUUAACGGCUUACCAAGGCAACGAUGCGUAGCCGACCUGAGUGGGUGAUAGGCCACACUGGAAGUGAGACACGGUCCAGACUACUACGGGAGGCAGCAGUAGGGAAUCUUCCGCAAUGGGCGAAAGCUUGACGGAGCAACGCCGCGUGAGUGAUGAAGGUCUUCGGAUCGUAAAACUCUGUUAUUAGGGAAGAACAAAUGUGUAAGUAACUAUGCACGUCUUGACGGUACCUAAUCAGAAAGCCACGGCUAACUACGUG